rnacentral:rRNA from 1 species
UUUAGUCAGGCAACGAGCGAGACCCGUGCCCACUGUUACCAGCAUGUCCUCCGGGACGAUGGGUACUCUGUGGGGACCGCCGGUGUUAAAUCGGAGGAAGGUGCGGGCCACGGUAGGUCAGUAUGCCCCGAAUCUCCCGGGCUACACGCGGGCUACAAUGGAUGGGACAAUGGGUCCCUACCCCGAAAGGGGAUGGUAAUCUCAUAAACCCAUUCUUAGUUCGGAUCGAGGGCUGUAACUCGCCCUCGUGAAGCUGGAAUCCGUAGUAAUCGCGUUUCAAUAUAGCGCGGUGAAUACGUCCCUGCUCCUUGCACA